CUGCUACAUGUUCCUUUUUGAAUAUUUGCAAUUUCUUUCUUCACAUGCUCCUUUCCUCAGCGCCUGGCCUUGCGCACGCAUCUGCACACAUUGUUACACACACACAUGCUAACUCUGUCACAUUCAUGCCCGACACAUGCCUUUAUCGCUUGUUUUUCAUGCUCCCAGCGCCCUUGUAGACACAACUCAUCUCUGUAAGACCCUAGGUC